rnacentral:rRNA from 1 species
UACAGAGGGUGCAAGCGUUGUUCGGAAUUAUUGGGCGUAAAGCGCGUGUAGGCGGCUUUGCAAGUCGGGUGUGAAAGCCCUCGGCUCAACCGAGGAAGUGCGCCCGAAACUGCAGAGCUUGAGUACCGGAGAGGAUGGCGGAAUUCCCCAAGUAGAGGUGAAAUUCGUAGAUAUGGGGAGGAACACCGGUGGCGAAGGCGGCCCUCUGGACGGAUACUGACGCUGAGACGCGAAAGCGUGGGGAGCAAACAGG